rnacentral:rRNA from 1 species
GAUGAACGCUGGCGGCGUGCCUAAUACAUGCAAGUCGAGCGAACGGACGAGAAGCUUUCUUCUCUGAUGUUAGCGGCGGACGGGUGAGUAACACUUGGAUAACCUACCUAUAAGACUGGGAUAACUUCGGGAAACCGUAGCUAAUACCGGAUAAUAUUUUGAACCGCAUGGUUCAAAAGUGAAAGACGGUCUUGCUGUCACUUAUAGCUGGAUCCGCGCUGCAUUAGCUAGUUGGUAAGGUAACGGCUUACCAAGGCAACGAUGCAUAGCCGGCCUGAGAGGGUGAUCGGCCACACUGGAACUGAGACACGGUCCAGACUCCUACGGGAGGCAGCAGUAGGGAAUCUUCCGCAAUGGGCGAAAGCCUGACGGAGCAACGCCGCGUGAGUGAUGAAGGUCUUCGGAUCGUAAAACUCUGUUAUUAGGGAAGAACAUAUGUGUAAGUAACUGUGCACAUCUUGACGGUACCUAAUCAGAAAGCCACGGCUAACUACGUG